ensembl:lncRNA
CAGUCCCUCCCAUUCCCCCAGUUCCCCCCAGUCCCCAGUCCCCUCCCAGUCCUCCCAUUCCCCCAGUUUCCCCCAGUCCCCCCAGUCCCUCCCAGUCCCUCCCAUUCCCCCAGUCUCACCAGCAGCCCCUGGCUGGGCCGCAGGGACCCCUCAGGUUCCGGGGGGGCUCCCCCGGCUCCCCCCCCGCCCGUCCUCGCCCGGCCCCGCCGGUCCUCCCCCCCCCGGGGGGGCUUCUCCUCCUCCUCCAUGGACGGCGACCGCCUGCAAGGGGAAAAUGGCAAUUGCCACCCCAAAACCGGGGUUUGGACCCAAAAAUGGGAUUUUGUACCCAAAAAAUGGCAAUUGCCACCCCAAAACCGGGGUUUGGACCCAAAAAUGGGAUUUUGUACCCAAAAAUGGCAAUUGCCACCCCAAAAUUGGGAUGUUGUACCCCAAAUUGGGAUUUUGUACCCAAAAAAUGGCAAUUGCCACCCCAAAAUCGGGGUUUGUACCCCAAAAAUGGGAUUUUGUACCCCAAAAAAUGGCAAUUGCCACCCCAAAAUCGGGGUUUGGACCCCAAAAUGGGGUUUUGUACCCCAAAAUGGCAAUUGCCACCCCAAAAUCGGGGGUUUGUACCCCCAAAAUGGGAUUUUGUACCCAAAAAAUGGCAAUUGCCACCCCAAAAUCGGGGUUUGGACCCCAAAAAUGGGAUUUUGUACCCAAAAAAUGGCAAUUGCCACCCCAAAAUUGGGGUUUUCUACCCCAAAAUUGGGCCCUUGUACCCCAAAUUGGGAUUUUCUACCCCAAAAUUGGGAUUUUCUACCCAAAAAAAUGGCAAUUUCCACCCCAAAAUUGGGGUUUGUACCCAAAAAUGGCAAUUUCUACCCCAAAAUUGGGGUUUUGUACCCAAAAAAUGGGAUUUUGUAACCAAAAAUGGCAAUUUCCACCCCAAAAUUGGGAUUUUGUACCCAAAAAAUGGCAAUUUCCACCCCAAAAUUGGGGUUUGUACCCAAAAAAUGGCAAUUUCCACCCCAAAAUUGGGAUUUUGUACCCAAAAAUUGGCAAUUUCCACCUCAAAAUUGGGGUUUGUACCCAAAAAAUGGCAAUUUCCACCCCAAAAUUGGGAUGUUGUACCCCAAAUUGGGAUUUUGUACCCAAAAAAAUGGCAAUUUCUACCUCAAAAUUGGGGUUGGUACCUAAAAAAUGGAAUUUUGUACCCAAAAAAUGGCAAUUUCCACCCCAAAAUUGGGGUUUGUACCCCAAAAUUGGGGGUUUUUUUUUGACUCCACAUUGGGAUUUUGUACCCCAAAAAUUGGGAUUUUCUACCCCAAAAUUGGGGUUUCUACCCCAAAUUGGGAUUUUGUACCCAAAAAUGGCAAUUUCCACCCCAAAAUUGGGAUUCUGUACCCCAAAUUGGGAUUUUGUCACCAAAACAGGGAUUUUGUACCCCAAAAUUGGGUCCUUGUACCCCAUAUUGGGGUUUUCUACCCCAAAAUUGGGGUUUGUACCCAAAAAAUGGGAUUUUGUACCCAAAAAUUGGCAAUUUCCACCCCAAAAUUGGGGUUUUGUACCCAAAAAAAUGGCAAUUUCCACCCCAAAAUGGGGAUUUUGUACCCAAAAAAAUGGCAAUUUCUACCCCAAAAUUGGGGUUUUCUACCCCAAAUUGGGAUUUUUCUACCCCAAAAUUGGGGUUUUGUACCCAAAAAUGGCAAUUUCCAUCCCAAAAUUGGGAUUUUCUAUUCCCAAAAUUGGGAUUUUCUACCCCAAAAUUGGGAUUUUGUACCCAAAAUUGGGAUUUUGUAUCCCAAAUUGGGAUUUUCUAUCCCAAAUUGGGAUUUUCUACCCCAAUUUCUCCCUCUGCUCGAAUUCCCAAUUUUCCCUUUUUUUUUCCAGCCUAAAUUUUCCUUUUUUUGCUCUCAAAAUCCUCAAUUCUUGCCCCAAAAUUCUCAUCCUUGUACUAAACCCCAAAUCUCACCUUUGCUCCUCAUUUUUAUCCCAAAACCCUCAAUUUCUCCCCAAAAUCCCAAUCCUAAAAUUCUCCUUCCUGUCCUAAACCCCCCAAAUAUCCCAAAUCCUGCCCCAAUCCCCAUUUUUAACCCAAAAUCCUCAAUUUCUCCCCAAAAUUCUCAAUUUUUACCCCAAAAUCCCAA